UUUAAUUCGAAGCAACGCGAAGAACCUUACCUGGUCUUGACAUCCCGAUGACGAGUGAGCAAAGUCACUUUCCCUUCGGGGCAUUGGAGACAGGUGGUGCAUGGUUGUCGUCAGCUCGUGUCGUGAGAUGUUGGGUUAAGUCCCGCAACGAGCGCAACCCCUAUUUCCAGUAGCCAGCAGGUAGAGCUGGGAACUCUGGAGAGACUGCCCGGGAGAACCGGGAGGAAGGCGGGGAUGACGUCAAAUCAUCAUGCCCCUUAUGAUCAGGGCUACACACGUGCUACAAUGGCGUAAACGAAGGGAAGCGAGACGGUGACGUUAAGCAAAUCCCAAAAAUAACGUCUCAGUUCGGAUUGUAGUCUGCAACUCGACUACAUGAAGCUGGAAUCGCUAGUAAUCGCGAAUCAGAAUGUCG
rnacentral:rRNA from 1 species